UACGUAGGGGGCAAGCGUUGUCCGGAUUUAUUGGGCGUAAAGCGUGUGUAGGCGGCUAUGUAAGUCGGAUGUGAAAGCCCCGGGCUCAACUCGGGAAGUGCACUCGAUACUGCGUAGCUAGAGUACCGGAGAGGUUGGUGGAAUUCUCGGUGUAGAGGUGAAAUUCGUAGAUAUCGAGAGGAACACCGGUGGCGAAGGCGGCCAACUGGACGAGUACUGACGCUGAGACACGAAAGCGUGGGGAGCAAACAGG
rnacentral:rRNA from 1 species